UAGGACACACAAGGUAAUCGCGGUGGGAAGCUCGUUGGGCUGGGUUGAUCUUUGGUGGGGUAUUCUGGUGUGCGAUGUGCGAUGUGCUCAACGAGGAGGAUCCUUUGAUUCGUUUCAUUGAUCUGCCUGGUCCAAUGCCCAGCAACGAGCAUUGGUUCGGAACAUCGUCCGCUGGGGCAUGCCGAGACGUCAUCUGCAACGGAGAUUUAAUCAAGUUUGUUGAAGUUGAGUACCAUCGAGGUGACUAUGCUGAAGGCUCAGAUGAUGGUGCCAUUGAUUAUGGUUGGAAGGCCACAGCAUGGCAUAAGAUUCUUUCAUCACACAAUUUUGCUGAUUGGCAGCACAGCUUCACUGUAGACACUUAUGACAUUACAGUAACGGACGAUGAGAGAUGCUCUUACUUGUUGCCUGAACUGUGAACUGACAAUGCCAAGAAGCUAUCCCUGGACAAGUUUAUGUGCUCUCUUUCCAACCUGAGCCUGGACGAUGAUGUAUUUUACAUGAAGUCCACCCCGAAUCCUGCAAGCCCAGUGGCGUGGCUAGCUGCCGUAAAUGUCAGAGAGAAUCUACUACAACUUAUCCCUUUUACUGCUGAAAUUUCUCACUGCGAGCCAACCUAUCGUCCUUGUGUUUUCUCCAAGUACCUCAAUAAUACUCCAGGACAACACAUGGCUGUGGUGUAAGGAUCCGGGGAGGUAAUUUAUAUAUAUUUCUAGAUUACAGAACAAUCACUGUUUGAUAUUUGCUUUCUCCGGGUAUCAGCUGGCACGUUCCGAUGCAGGAUCGCUAAUCGGGUCACUAUUUUUUUUUACCGUUGUAUAGGUUGCUUAAUCCCACAAAAGGGCACCCACCAUCAGAGCUAUCGCCUGUAAGUGUUGAGAAAUGGCUUAAAGAACAUGGUCAUUGAUGAGUUUAAUUCCGGGGAUCCUAUCUGCAGUCCUGCACGGUAGCCUUAGUUCUAAUAUUAGCACAUAGAGACCCAUGUGCAAGCGACACUAAUCAGUUUUAUGAUCUUUCAGAAAGUCUCUAUCCCAAACAGGAGUGUUUGCCAUUGGAUCAUGGCCUGACCACUCGCACAAUUAACACAAUUAUUAUACACAUUUACCUGUGAAAAUUCACAUUUUAGCAUGAUGUGAUUCAUGUUGCAUAACCUGUAUCUGCGAAGUUAGAAAUUUAUACUACAUGUUUUAUUUAUUUGCGAGGAAUACUGCAUGACUUAUUGCAGAGGGCUAUACACUACAACUUGAGAGGCCAAAAUUCUUGGAUUGCUCCUCUGUCAUGACAACUUAAACAUAUUCAAGAUGUUAACCUGUGCUGAUCUGCAACUGCUGAACUUUACAGGCAUGCAAGCAACGUAGAACGACAAAUUGCAAUGGACAAGUAGGGCUGCACGGGCGCCCAUGGUGUCCCUUUCAGGAGGAACCUUGGGGGUAGCUGACCAAUUCCUAAUGGAUCUCAAGGCUUGCUGUUGCUCGUGCACGCACUUCCGAGCAUCAUUGGGGAUCGUGCUCAGCAGCGGCCGGGCCGGCGAUGAUGCACUGGGGAUGUGUGCCCACCAAGAACAUAUGUGCCCUCCUCCCACAUGUUUGAGGGAGCCUUUGGGUUCCUGGACCGCCUCCCCAAAUCCUGAUGUUGCUGCUGAAAUCCCUGGACCAAAACAUUGAUGCACUUGAAAGCAAGGCAUCCCGCCGCCCACGCAGUACUGAAGCAGUCCAUGAUUAUUUGAUGAUUGAUUGGUUGCCUGUGCUUAUGCUGUUCUCUGAUUAAACUAUGAAUCUGCAAUGCAAAAUGGCUCUGCAACAUGGUACAGUACCACUCUUUGGCGCUUCGCAUCUGCUGAUACAUUUGCAGGAAAGCUGUUGUUUAUCUGGAACCGGCUCCUCUACCGUGCCCUAUGAUAUCAUCACUGUUGCCAGGAGCCAGCUCUUGGACUCUUCUGAGGCAUGCAGAACGAACCGUCUGGCCAGAAGAAGAUGAAGACAUUGUUUACUAAUUGCACUGGGAGUAAAAACGAGAAGAUGUGAUGAGGGCGACAGUGCCAGUGUGGGACACAUGAAGAUGAUGCUUGUCAACGCACGGCAAUAAAGAAGCUCAUCUGGUCUUUUUCAUUCUUUCUCAAACUAUGUGCUCGAUCAAUUCCAGGGAUUGCACAUGCAUGCAUAUCGCCGGCCAGCCAGCCAGCCAUGGUCCCAGGGAUCAGGCUCGGACUCCCAUAUGGCCAUAUGCUUGAGCUAGCAUGACACUAUCUCAGAUGAAUGAUGAUCAUCAUUGUGCAUGCAUGCAUGCAUGCAUGCAAGCAGAUGCAGCGAAUACAUGCAUGCACUCUUCUUACCACAUCCAACCAGAGUGCUCCCACCCCGACCCAUCUUCUCCUCUCCCUUGUUGACUAGAACUACCAUUGGAUUUGGUGUUGGAAUAGAACACAUGUUCAGUCAAAGUAUAAAAAAUAUAUCCGCAAAAAAGUAUAUAAAAUAUAAAGACACCACAAGGUAACAAAAUUAAACUAGACGAAGCUGAUAGCAUAGACAUGGGAUCAUGAGAUGUGGUUAGAGUGGCUGUUAGUGAUUGUUCACCAUGGCGGGGUCUUUUUUCUUUAUUAUGUUUUUUUAUUUUCUUUUUUGGCUAUGUGUAUCCUUGAUGCUUUUGGACAUUUUGUUGGUACAGAGCGCGGAUG